CCUACGGGAGGCUGCAGUGGGGAAUAUUGGACAAUGGGCGAAAGCCUGAUCCAGCCAUGCCGCGUGUGUGAAGAAGGCCUUCGGGUUGUAAAGCACUUUCAGUGGGGAAGAAAGCCUUGGGGCUAAUACCCUCGAGGAAGGACAUCACCCACAGAAGAAGCACCGGCUAACUCCGUGCCAGCAGCCGCGGUAAUACGGAGGGUGCGAGCGUUAAUCGGAAUUACUGGGCGUAAAGCGCGCGUAGGUGGUCUGAUAAGCCGGUUGUGAAAGCCCCGGGCUCAACCUGGGAACGGCAUCCGGAACUGUCAGGCUAGAGUGCAGGAGAGGAAGGUAGAAUUCCCGGUGUAGCGGUGAAAUGCGUAGAGAUCGGGAGGAAUACCAGUGGCGAAGGCGGCCUUCUGGACUGACACUGACGCUGAGGUGCAAAAGCGUGGGUAGCAAACAGGAUUAGAUACCCUAGUAGUC
rnacentral:rRNA from 1 species